ensembl:lncRNA MFSD14CP major facilitator superfamily domain containing 14C, pseudogene
CUGCGACAGUCGGGGUCGGUGCGGUUUGCUAAGUGGUCGGUUCCUGGAGCUGCGGUCUUCUGCUAGCCUGAUCCGCAGCUUCAGCCUCCGCCGCCUCCUCAGCCCUCGGCGCCGCCGCCUGACCCGCAGGCCGCCGCGGGCCGCAGAGCCCAUGAGGGCGCGGGCACCGCCGCCGCCUCCGCGGCGUCGCCGUCGUCCCGGAGCGCCCCGAGCUGGCGCGGGCAUGGCCGCGGCAUGAGCGUGGAGCCGCCGCCGGAGCUGGAGGAGAAGGCGGCGUCGGAGCCCGAGGCGGGAGCCAUGCCGGAGAAGCGCGCGGGCGCGCAGGCCGCGGGGAGCACCUGGCUACAAGGCUUUGGCCCACCAAGUGUGUACCAUGCUGCUAUUGUCAUCUUCCUUGAAUUCUUUGCGUGGGGCCUUUUGACAACUCCAAUGUUGACUGUUCUACAUGAAACAUUUUCUCAACACACAUUCCUCAUGAAUGGUCUCAUUCAAGGUGUAAAGGGCCUGCUCUCUUUUUUGAGUGCCCCACUCAUUGGUGCCCUGUCUGAUGUGUGGGGGAGGAAGCCCUUUCUCCUCGGCACUGUAUUCUUUACCUGCUUCCCAAUCCCACUGAUGAGGAUCAGCCCAUGUAGCCAAAAAGUGAAAACAACCCAAAUGUUCAUCACCUGAUGAAUGAAUAAGUUUCAGGAUAUCCACCAAUGGAAUAUUAUUCAGCAAUAAAAAGGUUUGAUGUAAUGAUAGAUGCUAAAAACAUGGAUGAACCUUGGAAAUAUUUAAAGUAAAAUAAGACAGGUGUGAAAGACAUACAUUGUAUGAUUCCAUUCAUAUGCAAGUCCAGAGCAUGUAAAGCUAUAUAGAAAGUCAGUUCGUGGUUAUGUAGGCCUAGGAUGUAGAUCGGUGGGGGGCAGGGAGUGAUAGCUAAAGGACAAGGGGUUUUUUUUCUUCUUCAUUUUUUGAGAUGGAGUCUCACUCUGUCACCCAGGCUGGAGUGCAGCGGCACAAUCUUGGCUCACUGCAACCUCCGCCUCUCCGGUUCAAGCGAUUCUCCUGCUUCAGCCUCUCAUGUAGCUGGGAUCACAUGUGUGCCACCAUGCCCAGCUGAUUUUUGUAUUUUUAGUAGAGGCGGGGUUUCACCAUGUUGGCCAGGCUGGUCUCGAACUCUUCACCUCAAGUGAUUCACUCACCUCGGCCUCCCAAAGUGUUGGGAUUACAGGCGUGAGCCACUGCACCCAGCCUAGGGGUUUUCUUUUUGAGGUGAUAAAAAUGUUCUAAAGUUUAUAGUGAUGAUGCUUGCAAUUUCUAUAAGUAGACUUAAUGCAGUGAUGGUUGCAAAUUCUAUAAAUAUAUUUAAUGUGGUGAUGGUUGCAAAUUCUAUGAAAAACCCAAAUUGUACAAUUUCAAUGAGUGAAAGCAUGCUAUGUGAAUGUCUUCAUAAAGGUUUUAUUUAAAAAAUGAGCAAACGGUAGAAUGUUAACAUGGCCCACGUCUAUGUGGUGUCUAUAUUGGUUUCUAUUAUAUGUUUUCUAUGUGGUUGAAACAUUCCUAAUAAAAUGUGCAUAGUUUUUUAAAAAAGAAAACACAUCAGUGGACGUGAAUGCAGGAUGUCUUAUGAAUGCUCACACAGAAGCUCCCAUUCGUGAGGAAUGCAGGGAAAAGCAGAAGAUGGAGUAGGAGUUGGCAUGGCCCAGCUAGCUCAGAUGACACACGAUGGUCCCAGUGGCAUGACUUGGUUUGUGUGAUUUGUGCCUUGGGGUUUUAUUUUGGCACAUUAUAAAGGAGUAAAUAAAGCCUGUAUACAGUCA